CAGACAUCCUUGUCAUAUGAUCUCAUGCGCUAACAGAUAACAUAAAAAAACGGACCAAGCCUUUUAAAUAAAACAAAGUCGAAAAACAGUAGCAGAACUCAAACAAGUUCAUCUUAACGCACAGAAAUCCUGUUUCUUUCCAUUUUGAAAGAUUUAACAGCAAGAUAUUAUCACAAACAAACAGGCGGCGGUAUUACUAAAUGAAAUCAAAUCGGAACAACAACCAUGGUUCCCUUAGAAGGAUGCAAAGCAGAAUCGAAACAUAUAAAUAAAACUCGGAAAGGAAGCUAACCGGUUGCGGCGAGCUCGACCGACGAAUGUAGGUAAACGCUUCUCGUUCGCUGUCAAGAAAGAUUUAAAGGAACUUCGGUGUAAUUUCAAUUAGGAGCGCCGCUUCAGAGAAAAGGAUAGGGCUUUUCUUUCUCUUCUUUAUGGUUUCCUCUGUUGUUGGGAUUUUUGCCGUUUCGCCGUCAAAGGAGUUCCUUAGGGAUUUGCUGUUUGAACAUUAGCCACUAAUGUUCUCUUGAAAAUUAGGGUUGUUGUGAAUAGUAAUCCCUCUUUUAUAUAUGACCCAUCUCUUUCCUCUGCUGUGUUUCCUACUGUGUAGUGGAGAGGCUUGUUUGUACAGAGGAUGUCUGGGGAGUUUUGUCCUUAUUCCACAUGUGGUCCCUCUUCCUCAAUUCUCUCCAUUUCCACUUCACUGUUGUGGCUUCGACAUGGAUUUUGAAUGAUGCUUUGGCAUGGUUUUCACAUGACUUUGGGUGCGAUUCGUUCGGAGGCAAAAUGUUGCGGCAUUGGCUUUGCCAUGGAAUUUGAUCGUGUCUUAGAAACAUCCGGAAUGGCUUCCAAGUUUCCCCUCUUAAACUUUCCAGUGGAAAAGACUACAUUGCUACUUACUGAACCCAGGGGCUUCGGAGAGUGCCUUGCAUAAAGAAGCAUGUAUGCUCUUUCUGACAAGACUCUUGACAAUUCAACAGGUUCUACCCUGCUGUCAUCAGUCCUGAACCAUUCUCCUUGGAUGUUCUUCACAUAACAAACAUAAUGUCCUGAAUAUGCAUCAUUCAUGCUAUUCAAAUGGACAACCACUGCAUAAAGACGGUAUAAUGGAGAUUUGCCUUUUAAUCCACUGAUAUAUGGAGCCAUAUUUAGGACUUCAGGAAAUUGAACAGACUUAUUCAACUUCUCAAAGUUACCGGACUGAAAUUGCUUUAAUACAAUCGUAAGAAUAUUCGGCACCUCUAAUACUGUUAGCUUCUUCUUGGCUUUCUCAUAUGAUUUACAUCUGCCACAAUUAUACUUAUUAUCCUUAUCUAGGAUUUCAGGCGCUGUAAAUUGUCCAAGAGACCAUCUAUACUCCACACCUUAAGAGUAUGAUCACUACUGCCACUAACAAAGAAGUCCUGUUUUUUUUUUUUGAAAAUGCAAUGGCUCCAACAGCUCCCAUGUGACCUAUGCCAGCUCCGAUGCAACUUGUACUUUCUGAGUCCCAUAACUUAACAGUGUUAUCUUUACUUCCAGUCACAAUUAAGUUUCUCCCAGAACUGUUCAAGAUUUGUAGCAAGAGCAAGGAACUUUUCAUCAUCCCCAACAAACUUCAUAUCUACGACCUCUUCAUUAUAUCCCACUAGUCUUUUGGUAAGAUUUAAUUGCAACAACUCUUCAAUCCAGUUCAGAAAGUAAAAUAUUGAAACUGCUAAUCUACAGUCACGCAAAGCAACCCUUGAUUCGAGCCAAGCAUAACAGCAGAAGUGAAACCCCUACGUGAACCAUCCUUGUCUGUGUCGUGCUUUAGUAACAAUAAUCUCAUCAAUGCAUUGCGUUUCAGAUACAGUUCUGUUCUAAUUGUUCGUGUUGCUAGCAGACUUCUUCAUUGGCUUGGAAAUGUUGAGGGAUUUAUAUGAGGUCAUGGUAUUAACAUGAGGUAGGCUACAAUGGUUUGUCUUUUUUUCUUGGUUACACAUGUUCGUCAUGCCGUGAGGUUUAUCCAAUAAUCCUGUUAAUGCUGCAGUAUUUCGCCACUGCAAGUUGGAUGAUAUGCUAUGCAAUAUCAGGUGGAAAUAAGGUUAUGACGAUGAUUGCACUGACUUUGUUUACAUCAUUUAGGUUUGAAAAUCCAGGAGACUCAUCAAGCUCUUUUAGAAUUGGUUUUGUUCAUGUUAGGACCAUUUAACUGAGUUUCAAUCUGAAGUGGUGAAGAAAUAUGCUCUGUCAAACCUGUUUUGUGACUGUGUUUUCCUGUUGAAGUUUGAAUGGUUUUUCUUUCAACCCUCUGUGUUGUAUCGUUGUCCUUUGGCGAACCACUUUUCUCAUGCAGUUCAUUGUUGCUUUCCACAUUGUCCCUCCAACAUUUAUUGCAGACUUCAGUAUGAAAGCAGUAGCUUGUUUAUAAUAAACACAACGGAGCCUGUUUUGGGUUGUUGAUAUUGCCGCAGCAAUUCUCAAGACAAAACAAUGAAAUGGUUGUAGUAUGGAAUCUCAGGAAGUGUUAGAUGCCAAAAUUUUAGCCUGAGUUCUGCAGUUGAUCAAUGUAACUCGCAGUGGUGAUAGUCACAGGUGUGCUACUUCUGUAAGCUUACAAACCAAGGUAUGCAUGCAUCUCAGAGCUUUCCCAUUGGUCUUUAGAGUUGACUAUGUUGCUGUUUGCAGAUCAAACUGUUUCACUUGGAUACUUUCAAAGGGAUCUUUUGUGUGGCCAGCAAUUGACAGGAGCUUAUUUCCCCAUGCAAUAAACCAAAGAAUGGCCGGCACAAGGGUCCAAAGUUGUAGAGGGUUCGUCUCCAGUUUUAGCCUCGAGCUUUGACCAAGUCCAUAAUCUCAAAUCCAAAAUUGUUAGAUAAGCGUUGUCCAUAGUAAUUUCCCAGAUUUUCCCUUCUUGUCCUGCUCCAAGUUCAAGCUCCGAAUCUCGAGUAGCAUUUGUAGCAUUUGGUACAGUAGAACCACUGUCUGGUAUGGAUUUUUUAUUUAUUUUGGAUUGUAAGGUGGAUUUGUGGCUUGGUUUAAGAACACAUACUUCAUUGUUGUAACGUCCAUUGUAUCCUCCAAAAGAUACAAGUACAUCUUCUCCAUCAUUCGAACUUACAACCAAACUCAAACCCUCACUAGCAACAGAGACACGCCCUUGAACAGAUGUUACUGCUGACCAAGCCAGUGUAGACAUGUUCAGUACAACCGUCUCCGAAGAAGAGCAAGUAUCGCUCCACAUGUACAGCAGCAGCAUGAUCAGGCCUUGGGGAAGGAGGCACUCCAACGGCAUCAAUUUCGUCCCAAGUCAUGGUUUCCAAGUCCAGAAUAUGCAGGUCAUUUAAGAGAGCCCUUUUUGCAUCUUAGAAACUUCAUGUAUUCAUGUGAUGAGAUGUUUUUUUUUAUUAUUAUAAGUUAUUCAUAUGCCAUGUACAUGAAUGAUUAUGAUUGAAUGAAUGAGCGAAGUAAUCGAACUAUGAAUGAGUAUGUGGAAAUUCUUGAA